rnacentral:lncRNA from 1 species
AUGUCCUCUUCUUUUAUCUUCAUUGGUUCUCCUCCUCUUUACUGUCUCACUCCUAUCCCUCAUCUCUUCAUCUCCUUCUCUUUACUGUCUCACUCCUAUCCCUCAUCUCUUCAUCUCCUUCUCUUUACUGUCUCACUCCUAUCCCUCAUCUCUUCAUCUCCUUCUCUUUACUGUCUCACUCCUAUCCCUCAUCUCUUCAUCUCCUUCUCUUCACUGUCUCACUCCUAUCCCUCAUCUCUUCAUCUCCUCCUCUUCACUGUCUCACUCCUAUCCCUCAUCUCUUCAUCUCCUUCUCUUUACUGUCUCACUCCUAUCCCUCAUCUCUUCAUCUCCUCCUCUUUACUGUCUCACUCCUAUCCCUCAUCUCUUCAUCUCCUCCUCUUCACUGUCUCACUCCUAUCCCUCAUCUCUUCAUCUCAUUCUCUUUACUGUCUCACUCCUAUCCCUCAUCUCUUCAUCUCAUUCUCUUUACUGUCUCUCUCCUAUCCCUCAUCUCCUCCUCUUCACUGUCUCACUCCUGUCCCUCAUCUCCUCCUCUUUACUGUCUCACUCCUGUCCCUCAUCUUCUCCUCUUUACUGUCUCACUCCUGUCCCUCAUCUCCUCCUCUUCACUGUCUCACUCCUGUCCCUCAUCUCCUCCUCUUCACUGUCUCACUCCUGUCCCUCAUCUCCUCCUCUUUACUGUCUCACUCCUGUCCCUCAUCUCCUCCUCUUUACUGUCUCACUCCUGUCCCUCAUCUCCUUCUCUUUACUGUCUCACUCCUAUGCCUCAUCUCUUCAUCGCCUUCUCUUUACUGUCUCACUCCUAUCCCUCAUCUCUUCAUCUCCUUCUCUUUACUGUCUCACUCCUAUCCCUCAUCUCCUCCUCUUUACUGUCUCACUCCUGUCCCUCAUCUCCUCCUCUUCACUGUCUCACUCCUAUCCCUCAUCUCCUCCUCUUUACUGUCUCACUCCUAUCCCUCAUCUCUUCAUCUCCUUCUCUUUACUGUCUCACUCCUAUCCCUCAUCUCUUCAUCUCCUUCUCUUUACUGUCUCACUCCUAUCCCUCAUCUCUUCAUCUCAUUCUCUUCACUGUCUCACUCCUAUCCCUCAUCUCUUCAUCUCCUUCUCUUUACUGUCUCACUCCAAUCCAUCAUGUCUUCAUCUCCUUCUCUUUACUGUCUCACUCCUAUCCCUCAUCUCUUCAUCUCCUUCUCUUUACUGUCUCACUCCUAUCCCUCAUCUCUUCAUCUCCUUCUCUUCACUGUCUCACUCCUAUCCCUCAUCUCUUCAUCUCCUUCUCUUUACUGUCUCACUCCUAUCCCUCAUCUCUUCAUCUCCUUCUCUUUACUGUCUCACUCCUAUCCCUCAUCUCUUCAUCUCCUUCUCUUUACUGUCUCACUCCUAUCCCUCAUCUCUUCAUCUCCUUCUCUUUACUGUCUCACUCCUAUCCCUCAUCUCUUCAUCUCCUUCUCUUUACUGUCUCACUCCUAUCCCUCAUCUCUUCAUCUCCUUCUCUUUACUGUCUCACUCCUAUCCCUCAUCUCUUCAUCUCCUUCUUUUUACUGUCUCACUCCUAUCCCUCAUCUCUUCAUCUCCUUCUCUUUACUGUCUCACUCCUGUCCCUCAUCUCCUCCUCUUUACUGUCUCACUCCUAUCCCUCAUCUCUUCAUCUCCUCAUCCUCUAGCUUAUCUCUUUACCUCUAG